rnacentral:rRNA from 1 species
UACGUAGGGGGCAAGCGUUGUCCGGAAUCAUUGGGCGUAAAGCGCGUGUAGGCGGCUCGAUAAGUCCGCUCUGAAAGUCCAGGGCUCAACCCUGGGAUGCGGGUGGAUACUGUCGGGCUCGAGUCCGGAAGAGGCGAGUGGAAUUCCCGGUGUAGCGGUGAAAUGCGUAGAGAUCGGGAAGAACAUCGGUGGCGAAAGCGCUCUACUGGGCCAUAACUGACACUCAGGGACGAAAGCUAGGGGAGCGAAUGGG